UUUAACACGCACAAGGAUUCUGUCCUGAGGCUCACCGUUUUGCUUAGCUUGAAAGUGUAAAACUGAGCAAAAGUGAUGGAUUUAUUUCAAAAUUUUUGUGAAAAGGCCUAUUGAUUUUCAUCAGAUGGAAAAAUGUGUACAAUAAGUUGGAGAUUAGUGCAUCUGUGUUCUGGUGUUCUGCUUUCCUAUAGGGACUGAUGCUUUUUCAGACUGAUUCCAUUGUUUAUGGCUUUCAGCUAAUUCUUUUCCCCAGAAAGCUUGAAUAUUACAUAGGCUCAAUAAGAUAUAUUCUGUUUUAAUGAGAUGCCUCUGCACAUGUUGUCUUUUCUCAUGAGAAACGCUGCAUGCAAGCCACAGUUUUCCCCAUUUUCCUGCUUUUAUAGUGCCAGUGUGUGUGUGUGUUUUUCUCUCUAAUUACUCAGAACUGUGAUGUUAGCGGAGAAUAAUGCCUCAGACAGUCACAUGUUUUCAUCCCCUUAGGUGCUGAUAAAUUCCUUGGUUUGUUUUCAUUGUUCUGCCGAGCUUUUGAGGCUCAAGUCAUUGAGGAAUGAGUAUUAUUAAACACAUCCACUUCUCUUUUGUGCUGGCUUUCUCUGAAUAUAAAUGGAUGCCAUGAUUACAUUUUCUGCUAAGUGUCGCAGAUGGGUCGUUAGUGUGGGUUGCCGGUAUUAGCGCUCACACAUUGUACAGACAGAAAGUGUACACCUCGGACAAUGAAGCUAGCUGUUAUCACAUCAGCGCAGCUCAAAAAUUAUAGCUGCCCGAUAAGCCUGUAAUCACUGAUUAUGACACUGAUGCAUGACGCAUUGUGUGUGAAGGCAGGGGAUUGUGUGCAGCACAGUGUGGUCAGUGGGCUGCAGAAGGUGUCAUAAACCAAAGGACAGAGAAAGCCAUCUGUCUGUGUAUUACAGACACACACACACAAAAUGGUAGCAUGUACAGGCAGGAAAAGACAUUAAUCAUCGGGUUGGAGGAGCUCCCAGGAGCAGCGUGCAACCUGCUGCUAAAAAAGACAAAACACACACACGCCGUCAUUGAAGGUAAUCAACAGGGUGGAAAAUAUGCUAUUUCACAAUCAUCACUGAAUAGCGAGAUGAGAUUUCCUCAUAGCUGCCCACCACGCAUACGUACAUGCAGACCAACAGCUGUUCCGAGGGCUGUUUGCUCGUCACAGUGUGCUCGACAAAUUAUGGCUUGUAGUUGAAACAUCUGCGGAGCCAUGCUUAAGAUCCAAAUCAUUAAAAGAUCAACAGUUCAGCGGGGAAAAAGAUCAAAGUUUGUUGCUGUGUAGAAAGAUUCCUUUCUACCCCUUGAAGCAGGAUCAUAUGUGCUGCUCCCUAAUGCAGUUUAGAUAUUGGAUGGUGUUAUUGUGGAGAUCUAUUUUUAUCCAUUUCCUGUUACUCUUUGCUUUUUUAGAGGGAAUCUCCCUUAUUUAAGUUCACUCGCUUACAAAGAAAGGGGCAGCUUUUAAAAUGAUGAAAAACACUGAAAUAUGUGCUCUACAAAAAGCAAAUUUACCUGCAAAGAUAUGAGAAUAAUUGAAUGUGAAACUACCAGGUUCACAUCCUCCUCCAGUUGUCAUAGUCCAGACCUUGAACCUGACUGGAGGGCCCGGAAAUACAAGGUAUUCAGUUGUUACUGACAUUGCUAAGAAACUCAGUGCUCAUAUGGACCGGUUAUAAUGAAGGUUUUGGGCCGAAGAUUACCUCAAAUUUAACUCUCCCUCCUACUGCUAGUUUUUGGAAUACAUUUUUAUCCAAAUAGUAGUGCAAAACACAUCUGCAUCUCUCAGGAGGACGAUGGUGUGUAGGGUUAGCUAUACGUCUCUGAGCAGCACCUGCAAGGCUCAAUCAAUUUCCUACAUUCCAACCUUUUCACCCUCAGGCAAAUUUCAGAAAGUUGUUAAAGAACAUUAGGUGCAAGAUGAUAAGGAGGUCUAUUUUCAUACGUCCACUUAAAUUGUAAUGGGGCUUAUUCUUGGUUCAAUACGUCACGACUUCAGAUUUAGUUGCUCAAUUUAGUUUUUGAACACACACUUUUUCCAAAAACAAAGGCAGGCCUAUUUUGGCCUUUUUAAAUUACUUUUGGAAAUAAUGUUCAAAAGGACAAUUCCUUUAUUUCUGGUUCUUAAACAGGGUUUGGUUGAUGUGCCAAAUAAAACACUGACAUUUUUGCUGAUUAAGAAAAUCAAAUUUAAGGGAUCUAAUUAAUCUAGAAUAUUCUAUUCCACAAUUGUCCGUGUUUUGUAGACUUUCACUAACAUUAGAUCUAGAUGCCAAAAAAACUAUAAAAUGGCCAUCACUGCAUAGGAAUACCACUUCUCCACUGUUUUGUAGGGAUUAGAGAUGUUAUGAAACUCAGAAAGACUUAAUAAUUGCAAAAGAACGGUACAAAGAUCACAAUAGACACUUAAAAAUGUGUUGUGCCAGGUAAAUGUGCACACACACACUGUUUAUAAGUCUGUCGGCAGCAAUAAAGUUACCAUCUGUUUCCAGCCUAGGCCAUUAGUGGAGGAAGAGUGUGAGGUCAGUGAGUGCAUCGGAAGGAGGGAGAGGAGUGUGAAAACCCACACUAAGAUCGUGAUAGAUAGCAUGUGUGUUUGUGCACAACGUAUUCAGGAUGAGGUCAGCCAGAGUUCCCCGUCAGUAAAAUGUGAGGGUUCAGGUUUUUUGUUUCAACUGUGCACGCUACAGGACAAAGCAAGUUGGUCUCCAACCAUCUCCUUGUUCUACAAUGAGCCCUUGUUUCAAUCUUUUAGAGGAGAAUCUUUUUUUUUUUUAAACAGACUGUGCGGUUUUGUUUGGAAAACUUUUGUCAUCCAGCUUUUCCUUCUGAAAUCCAUGUCUUUGGUUUCUCCUCACAACAUCCCAAUUUUUCCACAUGAGUAACUGUUGCAGAAUGGAUUGCCUGCGUGGAGCAGCUAUUGACUCCCAGCUACUCAUCCAACACCCAAUAUUGUCAAAGAGAAUGAGCUGUUAGCAUUAUGUGCUGAAAUUAUUUUCGGAAUCGAUAUGCUCUCUCUCUCUCUCUCUCUCUCUCUCUCUCAGACUCCUAGUCAGCAGCCAGAGAGAGCUCAGGGAAGGGCCUAAGUGGUAAGAUAAACACCGUUUGAUUGGGUUACCAUAGCCAGUCCUGUUUAGACUGGCUGCCUUCCUUCAUUCUAAUAAUACAUCAGCUGAUUGCAUUGAGGUUUGACUUCGCAGCAACCCCUCCCUCCAUUUACUUAUAGCAACCUUCUCAGAGUUGAUAUGAAGGCAAGCAGACGCAAACCCUUUUAACAAAAAUACUUCAAGCCGGACAAUACGACACUGUCUGUGCAUUUCCUUGCUUGUUUUCUUUAAAAGAACUGUGGCAGCCAAAGGGUCAGUGAGUUCACCACCAUCACGUCGGAGUUGCUACAACAGAGCUUGCGGCAACCCUGAAAAGGCUUCAGGGCUUUGUCACAAAGUGACACAGCUCGACAUAGAUUCACUGUUGAGCUGUGGCGUUUUUUCUAUGGCAACAAAGCUGCGUUUCUCAAAAUGGCUUUUCAACAAUAUUAAAGGGGAGUAACUCUUUGACUGUUGUCCAAAUGGCAAUUAUAGCACUCAUUUUAUUUAAUUAUGCGAUUGACUUAGUGCUUAUUUUGACAGCCUUAAGCAUGUCCUUCUAUAGCAGGUACAGACUGGUAGAGCACGGUUUAGUGUUCUCUGAUGUAUUGCAUUAAUGAGGAGUAAUAGACUUAAUGGGUCUGUAAUGACAGCAAAUUACAUUGCUGAACAAAGGAUUUCCAUAUAAUCACACUCUUUUGCACCAUCUUUCGUUGUUGCAGGAAUAUUUAACAUAAAGAAAGCUUCAAACUCUUCACAGCUCUGAAGACUUGGAGGCAUCUAUCUUUAGUUUAACGAGGUUGUCAGCAGUUUUGCUGCAUCUUGCUGACAGGACAGACAUAUUAAAGCAUCUCGCUAUCUCCUCCCUAUCAGACAGUUAUGUAGGCCAAGAGACCCAUUUGCAUUUCACUCUACCCUUGCUUGUACCAAAUUUGAUUCUGUAAAGACACUGAUAAGUCUGAAAAAAGGCUAAUAAGAGCCUUUUUGAAGCUGUGCCCAAAUUUAGGUCACCCCAGAAUCGCUAAACAACCAUUUCCCCCCUCUGAAGAAGACAGCUGACCGCAUAUUCCCUCCUUUUGGGGAAAAUGACCAAAAGCUGCUGCAUUAAGCCGAACGGGCCAUAGAGACUCAUUUUGGUAAAAAUCUGGCCCGGGGUUCUGCAAUACUUGUCCAAAUGGGCCGACACUGCAGAUGGUUUCGGCUACUCUGUGUUACCGGCCUUAUGAUUAAAUUUGGCAGCUACAAACGUCCAUUUAAUUUUCAUGAAGCCAAAGUCUGCAGUUUGCUUCUGGUAGAGCAUACAUGAGCUUAAAUCAGAUACAUAUUUUGAUACAUUUACCAAUUCCACAUUAGGGAAACUUAUUAAGUGUAAAAAAACAACAAAAAAAACUGUUUUGAUGCCACAUUAAAAUGAUAUUUUUAAACAAUCUAUUGUUGUUUUUGUUGUAAAUAUAUCGAUGUACCAUAAGGCUGGCAUACAGAAAUGGAAAACUCUCAGGUUGAGUCAUUUAACUGAUCACUGCUCUCAGUCUACGUUUCACUUGGCAUAUUUGCAUCAAUCUGCAUGCAUUGUUGCAGUGAUGUGCAUAAAUGCACCUCAGUGGACAAUUUUGCAUCUGUUUUUUAAAGACACUAUUGUCAAAAUAAAUGACACCCCCGCCCCUUUGGGCAGCAUUUGUCCAGGUUUGCUUUGGAAAGCACAGUUAGCAAACAGGACUUCAGCUUCUCCUUGUACAACACCACAACAGAACUGCCAUCUUACCCAGCAAACAUCAAGAGAUCAACAAAACAUCAUGAUAGUAGCAGAAGCUCAAAAAGACAAUGACUAACAACAUCAUUAACAAUUAAAAAGAAAUCUUAGCAACAUUUAUCCAGAGCUGCAUUAGCAAUAUUCUAACCAAAGAAACACAGGCACUAAAUAAAACAGCAGCAACAUUCACAACUGACUACCAGCAAACACCAAAUGACCAAGUGAUGGAAAUAGAGCAGAGUAAUUUGAUAGCUAAAACAAAUAAAACAUGCUGAGGAACAGAAGCUGUAGCUUACCGGUCAUUUGUAAAAUCCUCUGCAUUGUCAUGCAAGGUGGAGUAAACUAUCCCUAGAUUGUGAUGAUCAAAUUUAUCACCACUUUCCCUCAUUAUCUUCUUCUUGAUUUUUUUUUAUUGGUGGUUGGCAAAAACAUCUGGUAUUCAUUACCGCCACCUACAGGUUUACCCAUAUAUUCCUGGCAGGUGAAAAAAUUCAGAGCACCCCAAAGACAAUGCUAAUUGGUUAAAUGUUUUAGUUUUCCCUAGUAACAAAACACGGUUGGCUAAUUAGUCAAACUAAGAGGGCGCUUUGAGAAAA